CCCCUAGAUGUUCUGGGCCGCACGCGCGCUACACUGAACAGUUCAACAAGUCUUAACCUUGGCCGAUAGGUCUGGGUAAUCUUUGAACGCUGUUCGUGAUUGGGAUAGACCUUUGCAAUUAUGGGUCUUCAACGAGGAAUUCCUAGUAAACGCAAGUCAUCAGCUUGCAUUGAUUACGUCCCUGCCCUUUGUACACACCGCCCGUCGCUCCUACCGAUUGAAUGGUCCGGUGAGGCUUUGGGAGAGCUAAAUAGACUGUGCUUCACAGAUUAUUUGGCUUGAACUUAGUCAAACCUUACUAUUUAGAGGAAGGAGAAGUCGUAACA
rnacentral:rRNA from 1 species